UACGUAGGGGGCAAGCGUUGUCCGGAAUCAUUGGGCGUAAAGCGCGUGUAGGCGGCCAGGUAAGUCCGUUCUGAAAGCCCGGGGCUCAACCCCGGGAGGCGGAUGGAUACUGCUUGGCUCGAGUCCGGAAGAGGCGAGUGGAAUUCCCGGUGUAGCGGUGAAAUGCGCAGAUAUCAGGAGGAACACCGGUGGCGAAGGCGGGUCUCUGGGCCGAUACUGACGCUGAGGAGCGAAAGCGUGGGGAGCGAACAGG
rnacentral:rRNA from 1 species